rnacentral:rRNA from 1 species
UUAGCGAAUAGUGAAUCUGGUGGCUCAACCAUACAGGCUAUUAUUCGAACUGGCUAACUCGAGAAUGGUAGAGGUAACUGGAAUUUCUUGUGUAGGAGUGAAAUCCGUAGAUAUAAGAAGGAACACCAAUGGCGUAGGCAGGUUACUGGAUCAUUUCUGACGCUAAAGGCACGAAAGCGUGGGGAGCGAAACCGGAUUAGAUACCCGGGUAGUCCACGCUGUAAACGAUGGAUACUG